CUGAACUCUGGUAAGAAGACUGCCUAGCAAUCAGUCUGAUAAUCUAAUAUUACAAGAUAUAUGAUGCUAAGGAUAUGAUUCUUCUCAUUCUUAGUAUUAUUUUAGGUUUUUCUCAGGAACUGUACUCUAUGCAGUCUUUCAAAUAUAUAGCGUAUUUCCAGUAGGUUAUGAUAAAGUCAACUCUCCUAAUCUUGAAGCUCCUAAUCAUGAGUAGAAAUAAUUACUGAAGCAAGUUAUCCCCUCUGUGUAUUCAUUCUGAACAAUACUACGUGAUGGCACCAAUAUUUUCCCCUGUUGAUCUUGGGGAAACAGACUAUAAUUUUUCAUGGCAGCUUGUUAAUGCUCUUUAUUUUUAUUGUAUUUUUUAAGAUUUUAUUUAUUUGACAAAGAGAGAGGGAACACAAGCGAGGGAGUGGAAGAGGGAGAAGCAGACUUCCCAUUGAGCAGGGAGCCUCACGCAGGGCUCGAUCCCAGGACUCUGGGAUCAAAACCUGAGCCGAAGGCAGAUGCUUAACGAUUGAGGCACCCAGGCACCUCGUGGUAAUGCUUUUUAAUUCGAAAGUUCAUUUGUAUUAUAGUUCAAAGCCUUCUCCCUAUUAGUCACCUCUGUAGCAGAGUAAUUACAUUAUAACAUAAUUUUCUUUCAACAGAGGCACAAAAAUUUAUUCUUCUUACAUGCUAAAAACAAUUCUUAAACGUUUUCCACUUCCAUUGAUGUUGAAGUAGCAGAACAAUCCUAUGACCUCACACGAGGCUGGGCAUAGUUUGUGUUCCCAUCAGCCAAGGAGGAAAGAUCUAAUACCCAGGGCAUCAAACAGUACUCAGGAGGGCAUUGCCUUUGUGAAGCCAAAUAAGCCCCAAAUCCCCUCUGGCCAAUCCUAAAAAUUAGCUUCAAAAACAUCAAACCAGGGACGCCUGGUGGAUCCGUCAGUUAAGCAUCUGCCUUGGGCUCAAGUCAUGAUCCCAAGGUCCUAGGAUUGAGGCCCAAAUCGGGCUCCCUGCUCCGUGGGGAGUCUGCUUCUUCCUAUCCCUCUGCCUGCUGCCUCCCCUGCUUGUGCUCUUUCUCUGUCAGAUAAAUAAAUAAAUAAAAUCUAAAAAAAAAAAAAAAAA